AUGCCGGCAGCAGGUUGUUCUGCAUGUGGAGGCAUUAUGCCAAACUGGGUGGAAAUGUCUCCUUCUGCACAUACAUUCUAUAAAACAUUGUAUUCAUACAAUUGUCAUGAUGAAAUGCUGCCCUGUGUCAUCAGUCUCCCUGAAAGACUGUACCGAGCCCCCGGCGCUUGCCUGGGAGGGAGGCGAGGCUGCCCGCGUCCCCGGAGCUCCCGAUCCCUGGGAGGCGGCCCCGUCCCCCUGCCAUGCGCCUGGGGGACGGAAACACGGGACGGAGUUAUCUUUAGCUCCUAUACCACCACCACCACCAUCACAGCGCCUCCCUCCAGGGUCCUGCAGAAUGGGGGAGAUAAGUUGGAGACGAUGCCCCUCUACUUGGAAGAAGACAUUCGCACUGAUAUAAAAGAUGAUAUAUAUGACCCCACCUACAAGGAUAAGGAAAGCCCAAGCCCCAAGGUUAAUUAUGUCUGGAGAAACGUCAUCCUUAUGUCUCUGCUACACUUGGGUGCCCUGUUUGGGAUCACUUUGAUUCCUACCUGCAAAUUCUACUCCUGGCUUUGGGGGUUAUUCUACUAUUUUGUCAGGGCCCUGGACAUAACAGCACGAGCUCAUCCUCUGUGGAGCCACCCCUCUUACAAAGCUCGGCUGCCCCUGCAGCUCUUUCUGAUCAUUGCCAACACAACAUAUCAUUCCAGAAUGAUAUCUAUGAAAGGGCUCACGACCACCGUGCCCAUCACAAAUUUUCAGAAACACAUGCUGAUCCUCGUAAUACCAGACAUAGCUUUGUCUUCUCUCACGUGGGCUGGCUGCUUGUGUGCAAACACCCAGCUGUCAAAGAAAAGGGUGGUAGGCUAGACUUGUCUGAUCUAGAAGCCGAGAAACUGGUGAUGUUCCAGAGGAGGUAGUACCAACCCCAGUUUGCUGCUGGUAUGUGCUUCAUUCGGCCCACGCUUGUGCCCUGUGAAACUUUUCAACACAGCUUGUUCGUUGCCACUUUCUUGCGGUAUGCUGUAGUGCUUCAUGCCACCUGGCUGGUGAACAGUGCUGCUCACCUCUUCGGAUAUCCUCCUUAUGACAAGAACAUUAACCCCCCGGGAGAAUGUCCUGGUUUCACCUGGAGCUGUGGGUGAGGGCUUCCACAACUACCACAACUCCUUUCCCUGUGACUACUCUGCCAGUGAGUACCGCUGGCACAUCAGCUUCACCACAUUCUUCAUUGAUUGCAUGGCCUCCCUGGGUCUGGCCUAUGACUGGAAGAAAGUCUCCAAGGCCUCCACCUUGGCCAGCAUUAAAAGAACCGGAGACUGAAGCUACAAGAGUGGCUGAGUUUGGGGUCCCUCAGGUUCCUUUUAUAAAAGCCAGCCAGGCAGAGGUUUUAAUGUCUGUUUAUUAACUACUGAAUAAUGCUACCAGGAUGCUAAAGAUGAUGAUGUCAACCCAUUCCAGUACAGUAUUCUUUUAAAAUACAAAAGUAUUGAAAGCCAACAACUCUGGCUUUAUGACAUUAAGCUGAUGUUAUUUCUUCUCUUAUCCUCUCUCUCUUCUAGGCCCAUUGUCCUCCUUUUCACUUUGUUGCUAUCGCCCUUCUUUCUCUUAUUGCCUCCCAGGCAAGCAGCUGGUCAGUCUUUGUUCAGUGUCCAGCUUCCAAAGCCUAGACAGCCUUUCUGUAACCUAAAACGAAUGGUCUUUGCUCCAGAUAGCUGUCUUUCCUUGAGCUGUUGUAAGCUUUGAAGUAGGUGGCUUGAGCUAGAGAUAAAACAGAAUCUUCUGGGCAGUCCCCUGUUAAUUAUCUUCAGCCCAGGCUUUUGCCAGAUGGAAUGGAAAAGCAACUUCAUUUGACACAGUGCUUCUAAAGCAGGUAAACUGUCAGAGGAGAGAUUUAGCAUGUAUGAAUGUAAGGACGAGGGAAGUGAAGCAAGAGGAACCUUUUGCCAUGAUCAGACAUGCAGCUGCCUACCUAGUGAGGACUUCAAACCCCACCACACAGCAUGCUUGCAUUCUCUCCUGGCUCGGGGUAAGAAGUGGCUGUGGUGUUUGGCAAUGCUAAUUCAAUGUCACAACAUAUAGUUUAGGCUGAGGAUAAAGAAGAGACGUUUUGAGUUUGUAGUAAAAAUGGUCUCUGCUGGGGAAGGGUUUUCUUUUCUUUCUUUUUUUCUUUAAUAACAAGGAAUUCUUAGUUCAUGUAUCAAGAAAUCUUGAAGUUGGGUGUUUCCAGAAUUGGUAAAAACAGCAGCUCAUAGAAUUUUGAGGAUUCCAUGAGCUGUUCAUCACAAUUCUUUCCUCUUUCUGCUCUGCCAUCUUCAGGAUAUUGGUUGCUCCCCUCAUAGUAAUAAGAUGGCUGUAGCAUAUCCAAACAUCCAAAGAAAGGGAAGGAUUUUAGGAGGUGGA